rnacentral:rRNA from 1 species
UACGAAGGGUGCAAGCGUUACUCGGAAUUAUUGGGCGUAAAGAGCUCGUAGGCGGUUUGUCGCGUCUGCCGUGAAAGUCCGGGGCUCAACUCCGGAUCUGCGGUGGGUACGGGCAGACUAGAGUGAUGUAGGGGAGACUGGAAUUCCUGGUGUAGCGGUGAAAUGCGCAGAUAUCAGGAGGAACACCGGUGGCGAAGGCGGGUCUCUGGGCAACAACUGACGCUGAGGAGCGAAAGCGUGGGGAGCGAACAGG